rnacentral:lncRNA from 1 species
UCUAGAAUAAUUUUCAUUUAGAUAAUUUUGGUUUAUUUGAUUGCAAAAUUUAUUGCCUUAAAGAAAAUACAUUUAAACUUUGGAAACUGAAGGAUAAUUUAAGCACAAAACUAGAAAGUAAAUGUUGUAAACAAAUAAUUAAAACACCUAAUUAAACCAGCAGUGUGAAUCACUUCCUGAUCUAACCAAAGGUGCUCGAAUAUUCUUCCAUCCAAUGGAAAAUUUAUUAAAAUUUCAGCAUUGUCAAACCCUGUAACAAAAAUAUACACAUAUAUGAGAACAAGAACAAACUUAUUGAAAUUAUUUUCCCUUCACCCUAAUAACUUGAUGGUAAUGAUAGUACAAUGAUUCCAGAUUAAAUUGUUUAAAGCAAAGAAACCAAAGUAAAACAAAAUAUUGAAGCACCAUAAAAAAAAAUUCAAAACUAAAAUUUUGAAAUGUUGCAUCAUAUAGCCGACUAACCUAUGAAGUACGGACACUUCGCUAAGUUGUCGUGUCCACGUGUCAGACAC